rnacentral:rRNA from 1 species
GGGAGGGUUUACAUGCAGGUCGACGAAGCAUAGAGAAGGAAGUUUUCGGAUGGAAUUCAUAUUGACUGAGUGGCGGCCGUGUGAGUAACGCGUGGGUAACCUGCCUCAUACAGGGGGAUAACAGUUAGAAAUGACUGCUAAUACCGCAUAAGCACACAGAAUCGCAUGAUUCGGUGUGAAAAACUCCGGUGGUAUGAGAUGGACCCGCGUCUGAUUAGCUAGUUGGUGGGGUAAAGGCCUACCAAGGCGACGAUCAGUAGCCGACCUGAGAGGGUGAUCGGCCACAUUGGGACUGAGACACGGCCCAAACUCCUACGGGAGGCAGCAGUGGGGAAUAUUGCACAAUGGGGGAAACCCUGAUGCAGCAACGCCGCGUGAGUGAAGAAGUAUUUCGAUAUGUAAAGCUCUAUCAGCAGGGAAGAAGAUGACGGUACCUGAGUAAGAAGCCCCGGCUAACUACGUGCCAGCAGCCGCGGUAAUACGUAGGGGGCAAGCGUUAUCCGGAUUUACUGGGUGUAAAGGGAGCGUAGACGGCAUAGCAAGUCUGAAGUGAAAGCCCAAGGCUCAACCAUGGGACUGCUUUGGAAACUGUUAAGCUAGAGUGCUGGAGAGGUAAGCGGAAUUCCUAGUGUAGCGGUGAAAUGCGUAGAUAUUAGGAAGAACACCAGUGGCGAAGGCGGCUUACUGGACAGUAACUGACGUUGAGGCUCGAAAGCGUGGGGAGCAAACAGGAUUAGAUACCCUGGUAGU